GGGUUCUGCCCUUUCCCGAUUUCCCUUUCGGCUCCCACUCCCCGAUCAUCACUCCUUCGGGAUGGGUGUCUCAAGAGCCCUGUUGCACACCCACUUCUAUUCUAGGGUUCCUUUUGGACAGUGGGGCAGGCUUCCGCUGCCCAAAUUCUUCAACAUCUCUCUCCCUCUCUCUCUAAAGCGCUUCUCAUGGUGGUGUCCAUAGAACAAAGCUCUUGCAAGAGAAGCGAAUGGAGGAUAGCUUUGAGACUUUGGAUGGGCAAGGCAGGCUUCUAUGUCCAAGCUUCUUGGGCACUGAAUUCUUUUAGGCGGCCAUGAACGUCGACCAAAAAGACGCAUAAACACUUCAAAUGGCUCUCAAGGAUGUGAUCGCAUAAAACGCAUGCAUCGAGCCUGUUCGGAAUCAUUGUUAAUGGGCACUUGAUCUAAAGAUGGAUGAUGCUAGAUCUUUUUCGUUCCUCAAACAUGUUGUUCAAUUCGCCAAACUAAAUAGUUGUCAAAUUGAGAGACGUUGAACCAGACCAUAAAUGUUAUAUGCCUUGUAUGAGUGAAAGCAAAA